rnacentral:rRNA from 1 species
GACGAACGCUGGCGGCGUGCCUAAUACAUGCAAGUAGAACGCUGAAGGAAGGAGCUUGCUCUUUCUGGAUGAGUUGCGAACGGGUGAGUAACGCGUAGGUAACCUGCCUGGUAGCGGGGGAUAACUAUUGGAAACGAUAGCUAAUACCGCAUAAAAUUGAUUAUUGCAUGAUAGUCAAUUAAAAGGUGCAACUGCACCACUACCAGAUGGACCUGCGUUGUAUUAGCUAGUUGGUGGGGUAACGGCUCACCAAGGCGACGAUACAUAGCCGACCUGAGAGGGUGAUCGGCCACACUGGGACUGAGACACGGCCCAGACUCCUACGGGAGGCAGCAGUAGGGAAUCUUCGGCAAUGGACGGAAGUCUGACCGAGCAACGCCGCGUGAGUGAAGAAGGGUUUCGGAUCGUAAAGCUCUGUUGUAAGAGAAGAACGAGUGUGAGAGUGGAAAGUUCACACUGUGACGGUAGCUUACCAGAAAGGGACGGCUAACUACGUG